AGCAGCCGCGGUAAUUCCAGCUCCAAUAGCGUAUAUUAAAGUUGUUGCAGUUAAAAAGCUCGUAGUUGAACUUCGGGGUUUACCCAUUGGUCAGGCUUAAUUGUCUGUACUGGUGAGAUAAAUCUCUACCUUCUGAGGAACUUUCAUGCCAUUUAUUUGGUGUGAUGGGAAAUCAGGACUGUUACUUUGAAAAAAUUAGAGUGUUUAAAGCAGGCUAACGUCUGAAUACAUUAGCAUGGAAUAAUGAAAUAGGACGGACUGAUCCUAUUUCGUUGGUUUCUAGGAUCACCGUAAUGAUUAAUAGGGAUAGUUGGGGGCGAUUAGUAUUCAAUUGUCAGAGGUGAAAUUCUUGGAUUUAUUGAAGACUAACUACCGCGAAAGCAUUUGCCAAGGAUGUUUCAUUAAGUCAGGAACGAAAGUUAGGGAUCGAAGACGAUCAGAUACCGUCGUAGUCUUAACCAUAAACUAUGCCGACUAGGGAUCGGACGAAGUUAAUUUUAUAAUGACGCGUUCGGCACCU
rnacentral:rRNA from 1 species